UACGGAGAGUGUAAGCGUUGUUCGGAAUCAUUGGGCGUAAAGGGCGUCUAGGUGGCCUGGCAAGUCAGAUGUGAAAUCCCUCGGCUUAACCGAGGACGUGCAUUUGAAACUGCUAUGGCUUGAGUGUCGGAGGGGGUAGCGGAAUUCCCGGUGUAGAGGUGAAAUUCGUAGAUAUCGGGAGGAACACCAGUGGCGAAGGCGGCUACCUGGCUGAACACUGACACUGAAGCGCGAAAGCGUGGGGAGCAAACAGG
rnacentral:misc_RNA from 1 species